rnacentral:tRNA from 1 species
UGGCGCAGUGGUUAAGUGCUUGGCUGCUAAUCAAAAGGUGGUGGUUCGAAUCCACC